CUACGGGGUGCUGCAGUGGGGAAUAUUGGACAAUGGGGGAAACCCUGAUCCAGCAAUGCCGCGUGUGUGAAGAAGGCCUGCGGGUUGUAAAGCACUUUCGGUUGGGAGGACUGCUUCUAGCACUAAUAUUGUUGGAAGUUGACGUUACCUUCAGAAGAAGCACCGGCUAACUCCGUGCCAGCAGCCGCGGUAAUACGGAGGGUGCGAGCGCUAAUCGGAAUUACUGGGCGUAAAGCGCGCGUAGGCGGCUAGAUCAGUCGGGUGUGAAAGCCCCGGGCUUAACCUGGGAACUGCAUCCGAUACUGUCUAGCUUGAGUACAGGAGAGGAGAGUGGAAUUCCACAUGUAGCGGUGAAAUGCGUAGAUAUGUGGAGGAACACCAAUGGCGAAGGCAGCUCUCUGGCCUGAUACUGACGCUGAGGUGCGAAAGCGUGGGGAGCAAACAGGAUUAGAUACCCCAGUAGUC
rnacentral:rRNA from 1 species